UACAGAGGUCCCGAGCGUUGUUCGGAUUCACUGGGCGUAAAGGGUGCGUAGGUGGCCUGACAAGUUUGAUGUGAAAGCUCAGGGCUUAACCCUGAAAUGGCAUUGAAUACUGUCGGGCUGGAGGUUUGGAGGGGGGACUGGAAUUCUUGGUGUAGCAGUGAAAUGCGUAGAUAUCAAGAGGAACACCAGUGGCGAAGGCGAGUCCCUGGACAACACCUGACACUGAGGCACGAAAGCUAGGGGAGCAAACAGG
rnacentral:rRNA from 1 species